rnacentral:rRNA from 1 species
CCUACGGUAGGCUGCAGUAAGGAAUAUUGGACAAUGGCGGAGACGCUGAUCCAGCUAUCCCGCGUGCAGGAUGACGGCCCUACGGGUUGUAAACUGCUUUAGACUGGGGCGAAAAAGUGGGAUUUAUCCUACAUUGACGGUACCAGUAAAAUAAGCACCGGCUAACUCCGUGCCAGCAGCCGCGGUAAUACGGAGGGUGCAAGCGUCAUCCGGAAUCACGGGGUAGAAAGGGGCUUGUGGCGGCUUGUUUGAAAGGCCAUGGCUCAACUAUGGGAUUGCUUUUGAUACUGACGAGCUUGGAUUAGGACGAGGUUGGCGGAAUGUGGCAAGUAGCGGUGAAAUGCAUAGAUAUGCCAUAGAAUACCGAUUGCGAAGGCAGCUGACUAGACCUAUAUUGACGCUGAGGCACGAAAGCGUGGGGAGCGAACAGGAUUAGAUACCCUAGUAGUC